GCCAGGAUAGCUCAGUGGUAGAGCAGCUCACUCGUAAUGAGCAGGUCGUGAGUUCAAUCCUCACUCCUGGCU
rnacentral:tRNA from 1 species